AGUCGAGGGGUAUGGCAGCAAUGCCAGAGACCGGCGCACGGGUGCGUAACGCGUAUGCAACCUACCUUUCACAGGGGGAUAGCCCAGAGAAAUUUGGAUUAAUACCCCAUGGUAUAUUGAGAUGGCAUCAUCUUAUUAUUAAAGUCACAACGGUGAAAGAUGGGCAUGCGUCCUAUUAGCUAGUUGGUGUGGUAACGGCAUACCAAGGCUACGAUAGGUAGGGGUCCUGAGAGGGAGAUCCCCCACACUGGUACUGAGACACGGACCAGACUCCUACGGGAGGCAGCAGUGAGGAAUAUUGGUCAAUGGGCGCAAGCCUGAACCAGCCAUGCCGCGUGCAGGAUGAAGCAUCUAUGGUGUGUAAACUGCUUUUGUACGGGAAGAAACCCCUCCACGUGUGGAGGAUUGACGGUACCGUAAGAAUAAGGAUCGGCUAACUCCGUGCCAGCAGCCGCGGUAAUACGGAGGAUCCAAGCGUUAUCCGGAAUCAUUGGGUUUAAAGGGUCCGUAGGCGGGCUAAUAAGUCAGUGGUGAAAUCUCCCCGCUCAACGGGGAAACGGCCAUUGAUACUGUUAGCCUUGAAUUAUUAGGAAGUAACUAGAAUAUGUAGUGUAGCGGUGAAAUGCUUAGAUAUUACAUGGAAUACCAAUUGCGAAGGCAGGUUACUACUAAUUGAUUGACGCUGAUGG
rnacentral:rRNA from 1 species